GUAUCAAUUAAUAAACUAUCUACUUAUCAAAAUCAAUUGAAACACUAAAAAGCAAAAAUGAGAUGACACCAAUAUCAUUCAUAGAACAGACAGCAGCCAAAUAAUUCAUAGAGCUUCAAUCAAAUGAAAGAACCUACCCAAGAGAUAGACACAGAGAACUGACCUGGAGAAAAAGCAGAAAAUCUAGAGGGCAUGUAAGAGAUGCAUUUGAAGCCACCAUAACUGCCAAGCAAUGAUGAAGAAGACAACCUGCGAAGAGACCACAUUUCUUCUCUUUUCUCUAGGGCUUUUCCUGUUUUCAGUAUAACCACUUUUCUUAGGAAGUGUAUCUGCAAAAUUUAAAAUACCCAAAUCCAAACCCCUUUAUACGAAUACUACCCAAACACAUUUAGAAAUUAUAUUUCACUACCAGCACCUGUCCCAAUCCACAAUUUAGAAUACCCAAAUCCGAACCCAUUUACAUAUAUUACCUAAACUUAUUUAGAAUGAUACUUCACCACCCGCGUCUAAACUAAACCUGUUGAGCAUUACCCAAACACCCCCUAACCCGAUUAACUACAUGUAAAUUACAAGUUUGAACCCAAGUAAAAGCACAAUCAACAAAGGAGAAAAACCAAAUAGUAAAAAGAACUGGCUUCAGAAAUAGGCAAAUACUAAAAAUUUUAUCAUUUGAGGAUAAUAUGUAAAAUGCAAAUAGCAUGUAUGCUGCAAAUUAGCUCUUAUUCCAUGUAAUUGGAUAACUGUUAUCCCUCAUGAUUUAGGAGGUUAAUCGUUCUCUCAUGUCGUUUGGUCGUGUAAUACAAUGACAUACAGAUUAAAAAAUCACAUAUGUGCUAAUUUAACAAGUCUCAACAUAUACACAAAAAACUCAGUAGUUUCAGGACCAAAAUAUUUAUCCAUUCAAAGAGUUGAGAAACCGUGGAGAUAGAAACCCAUUUCAGAAACAGAACAAAAAAGCAUUCAAAGAUAGAAACCCAAUCAGCAACAAAUCUCAAGUAUUCAAACAAACCUGCGUAAUGACCGUGGGACACAGAAGCAGCGGCGAUGGAGUAGGGGUAGCAGUGGGGAGACAGGAGCGCAAUUGAAAAAGAAGCGUCGAGACACCAGCGUGACUGAGGAGGGGCAGCUGCGGCGUGACUAAGAAUAAGCAACAGCAGCGACGGCGAGGGACUUAGUGCCUAGGGAAGUGGGGAUGGAGUGGAGCGGCGGCGGGUGUUUCCUAUUCGAGAGAAUUGAGUAAUAUGCACCGUAGAGUAAGGUUAAAAAUAAAGUAAAUUCUUUCCCAUUUUGUUUUAAAU
rnacentral:lncRNA from 1 species